rnacentral:rRNA from 1 species
CMKAUUGAACGCUGGCGGCAGGCCUAACACAUGCAAGUCGAAUGGUAACAGGAAACAGCUUGCUGUUUCGCUGACGAGUGGCGGACGGGUGAGUAAUGUCUGGGAAACUGCCUGAUGGAGGGGGAUAACUACUGGAAACGGUAGCUAAUACCGCAUAACGUCGCAAGACCAAAGAGGGGGACCUUCGGGCCUCUUGCCAUCAGAUGUGCCCAGAUGGGAUUAGCUAGUAGGUGGGGUAACGGCUCACCUAGGCGACGAUCCCUAGCUGGUCUGAGAGGAUGACCAGCCACACUGGAACUGAGACACGGUCCAGACUCCUA